CGUGCCAAUGGCUACUUCUUUUUACCAAAAAGUUAGCAACACUACUUUGACAGUGUUGUCCUCCCACUUCCUUCAAAACAAAAAACUAUAAUGUCUGCGGUGUGGAAACGAACCGCUAACACAUACCACAAGAUACCCGGCGGGGGAAGCACGACUUGACGGAGUACGCAGUCAGACCGGCAAGCUACCGUAAGAACUGAAUUAAUCUAAAUGAGCAGCCGUGGAAGACAAAGUGUCUCCUUGAAGAGGGCGUCUCGUCUUCUGGGAGUUUCAGAGUGAUGUAUGUUGCCUUCAAGAAGAAAUGUGUUCCAUGUGGAGGACAGGAAGUGACACCUUAGGUUUCAGUGUUGAGUUUUAGUUUUCUGUGUGUUAUGGCUGCAACAGUCGACCAUGAUUAUUAUUAUGCCCGUUGUCAGAUCAUUUAAACCUGCAAUAAAAGCCUGUUGUUCCUGCUAUCAAGUCUGGUGGGUGUCUCAUCUAACAAUUACUGACACCUAGUGACCAAUGUGAUGUGGGAUUCCUUCUCUAUAAUUGGAAUAUUUUCAUAGUUUGAGCAUGAAAAAAACUCAUUUAUGAUCUUCUAAAUACGGUUUAUAAUAUUCAUAGAGGUCUAUUGUCUCUAAUAUUACCCAAUACAGUAGAUUUAAUCAACUUAUAUAAAACCCGUGCUCAUGUGUGUUGCAGUAAAUGUGUUCCAUGUGGAGGACAGGAAGUGA